UGAUCAAAUGUUGGUGUUAAAUGAUCUUG
rnacentral:piRNA from 1 species